UCCGGCUUAUCACAGGGGUUUCACGUGCAUGUCAAACCCAGGUAAGGUUCUUCGCGUUGCUUCGAAUUAAACCACAUGCUCCACCGCUUGUGCGGGCCCCCGUCAAUUCCUUUGAGUUUCAGCCUUGCGGCCGUACUCCCCAGGCGGGGCACUUAAUGCGUUAGCUGCGGCACCGAAGGGGUCGCUCCCCCCGGCACCUAGUGCCCAUCGUUUACGGCGUGGACUAC
rnacentral:misc_RNA from 1 species